CGCACAUUGCGCCCCUUGGUAUUCCGAGGGGCAUGCCUGUUCGAGCGUCAUUACAACCCCUCAAGCUCUGCUUGGUGUUGGGGCCUGCCGCACCGGCAGCCCUUAAAAUCAGUGGCGGCGCCAUCUGGCUCUAAGCGUAGUAACUUUCUCGCUACAGGGUCCCGGUGGAUGCUCGCCAUUAACCCCAAUUUUCUAUGGUUGACCUCGGAUCAGGUAGGGAUACCCGCUGAACUUAA
rnacentral:misc_RNA from 1 species